GCUACGCAUCCAACGCGUUGGGAGCUCUCCCAUAUGGUCGACCUGCAGGCGGCCGCGAAUUCACUAGUGAUUCGUAUUACCGCGGCUGCUGGCACGUAGUUAGCCGGUGCUUAUUCUUCCGGGACCGUCAUCCCCCACGGGUAUUAACCACGAGGCUUCCUUUCCGGACAAAAGUGCUUUACAACCCGAAGGCCUUCUUCACACACGCGGCAUUGCUGGAUCAGGCUUGCGCCCAUUGUCCAAAAUUCCCCACUGCUGCCUCCCGUAGGAGUCUGGGCCGUGUCUCAGUCCCAGUGUGGCUGGUCGUCCUCUCAGACCAGCUACAGAUCGUCGCCUUGGUAGGCCUUUACCCCACCAACUAGCCAAUCUGCCAUCGGCCGCCCCUUGAGCGAGAGGUCCGAAGAUCCCCCCCUUUCCUCCUUAGAGCGUAUGCGGUAUUAAUCCGGCUUUCGCCGGGCUAUCCCCCACUCCAGGACACGUUCCGAUGUAUUACUCACCCGUUCGCCACUCGCCACCAGGGUUGCCCCCGUGCUGCCGUUCGACUUGCAUGUGUGAGGCAUGCCCCCAGCGUUCAAUCUGAGCCAUGAUCAAACUCUAAUCGAAUUCCCGCGGCCGCCAUGGCGGCCGGGAGCAUGCGACGUCGGG
rnacentral:rRNA from 1 species